UGAGUUUUUCAUAAUCCAUGCUUGCUCAAAUAAAUUUUGAUGGGUUAUAGUUAAUCCUUAAAUUUUCAUACUCUAUGUUUGCCCGCGUUAAUUAUAAAAUUACUAAAUUAAAAGAAAGGAAUAUCAAAAUCAUAUUAAGUUACAAAAAUAGAAGAGAUUGGAUUGUGUAUUAUGUUUAUUGGUUUAAUGGAUUCAUAUUCCUAGAUUGCUUCCUCAUUAUUAGUUUUCA
rnacentral:lncRNA from 1 species